ACGCCGCCCGCCCCGGCUCGGCCCCGCCCACCAGGAGGAACCAGCAGAGGCUCCCUCCCUGCGGAGCCCCGGCCCCCUUUUCCCGCGGAGGGGUCAGCAGGACCCUCUCCCCCCGGCCUGCUGCCCCCCGCGCCCCCAGCCUCCGCCCACCUGAGGCCUGAGGGACCCGUCCAGCGCCCGGACGGAGCACAGUAAAAGAAUGUCACCCACAAACGCGCGAAGUCCGCCCCUUCCUGACCCGGGACGUGCACUGAGGAGGAGAGGGAGACCAGCUGGCUGCCGAGCCGGACCACCAGCCCUGUGCCACCCUGGGGAUCUGGCUGGUGUUUCUGGCUACCGUUUGCGGUGCUCCAGGGCACACGUGCUCUAGAGGGCCUCGCACACCUGGCGGGAAACUGUCUCCUUUACAAAGAACCCUAAGGAGGAAGCAUUCAUACUAAAAGAAGGAAAAAUGGAUGGUUUGUUCUAACAUUCUGAAGAGGCCACAGUAAUGAGCUCUUUGUUAGUGAAAAGGAACCGCAUCUAAGGAAAUCAGUACAGUACAGGAUGGCGCAUUUUUCAGUAGGUCACCUGAAAGGUCACGGGAAGCUGUGUUUCUUGGACUUAAGGAAACUGUAUUUACUACCCAUACCGGUUUUCAGAAUCUGGAUGCCAAAAAUGGCAUCUUACGCACUGCUCAGAGGAAACAGUUAAGGUGAACGGAAGGAAGGGAGACACUCAAAAGCUGAACAAGAGGCUCACAGCUCAAAAGAAGAGGGCCAGCCGAGUUUCAGCUGUCGCAGCCCUAGACGGUCCCAUAUAAGGGCAGAGGCAGGGCGAGCAGCAAUCUUUCAGAAUUUGUUUAGAAUUAAACAAGCAAACAGAAAACCAGUGGAAGUCAGCCAGUCAGUCCAUCAGGUAUUCUCUGAAAUGAUGGGAGCGCCUGGGUGACUCACGACGGCUUUGCUGCCAGAGCGAGUUUGCGAUUUCUGAGUUGCCCACCCGGGAGAGCCUCCCUGGGAGAGGAUGCCUCGGCUCCCACACCUCGGAGCACCCAGGGAGACUCCUAAGACUGCGACCUACGUACGGAGCGUCAACUCCAAAAUCCUCCCAACCGAGUCCUUUCUGAAAAUAGCUCGGGGCUCCUCUUGAGCAAUACUUGUUUGUUUACUUGUUCUAAAGAGCAAGGCGAUGACACGGGACUGAUGGACUCCCAGCCAAUGGCUACCCAGACAGCCUGGAGGGUGGCCGGUGUCUUCCAACCAGAAAGAGGAGAGGCGGGACUGGCCGGGCAGGCCCCAGGGGCUGGGCAAGCUCUCCGCGUGACUUGCCUUCCAUGUUGAGUGUGGCAAAAAACACUCCUGUUCUGUACUGCAGGUUAACGCCUCACGCCUGCUUGGACGGGGGCUUAGAAAGAGCGACAGCAUCAUUUCCAGCCAUGUUACAUCAUAGUGCUGGGACGCUGUGUUCUAUUUUCAGCGGUUACACUAUUUCCCCGGCAAUUACGUCAUGUUAUGAAAAAACGAACAGGGUGGGAGUUAUCUAACUGACACUGCUUGGCUUUCUAGAAUGCUUGUUCGAUAGUUUAAAAGCACCAUGAGAUUCCUGGGGAAAACACUGAAUUUAAAGAUGUGUUCUUGCUUUUCUACUUUAUAUGGACUAUUUCAAGAACAGUGAUAUUUGUUAUUCACUUAAAAAUAAAUCAUACUAUGCUUACAUUAACUGGCUUAAAAUAAUGCAAUAACUGAAAUACUGAUUUACCACUGAAUAUUGUGGGGGCAUACGGAAUUUUUCAUACACCGAAACACACUUGUUUUCAAAAGUUACAUGAACUUCAUUGAUUUUAUUUGCAUAUGAAUAUAAAUUAAUAAAUUUUACAUGUAAUUUA